GGCCUUGAUUGUUUUAGAUGCAACUUCUGGAGAGGAUGAUAGAACUUUGAAACAUUUUGGACUGGUUGUUUGGGACAUUUUGGAAGAGGCUGUAGGGGGUUGAACUUUAAAGAUGAGGAACAACGCAGUUGGUGGGGAUGUGAAAAGGUAGAGGAAGAAGAGGAAGGGGAAGAAGUUAAUGAUGAUGAUGAUGACAGUGACAGAACCAAGAAAUUCUAUACCGGCCC
rnacentral:lncRNA from 1 species